CAGAGUCGCUCCAGGCGGGCAGCGCGGCGCCGGCGGCCGGCGCUUCAGCAGUGGACAGCGGCUCCGGGCCGCUGGCGGCAGCCUCGCGCCCCCGCCCGCCCGCCCCUCCGCGCCCGCAUCGCCGCGUGCGUGGAGCUGCGGGGCCGCGCCGCCGAGGCCCCCGGGGGAGCGCAGGGAGCUCCGUCCCGGCCGCGGCCCGAUGGCAGCCGGAGCCCUAGAGUCCGGGAGACGCGCGGCCGCCCAGCCCGCGGAGCCCCCCGCGCAGCGCCCCCCGCCCCCGCGCCCUGCCCUCCGGCCCGGGUGGGUGCAGCCGGAGCCCUAGUGUCCGGGAGACGCGCGGCAGCCCAGCCCGCGGAGCACCCCAGCGCAGCCCCCCCCCGCGCCCCGCCCUCCGGCCCGGGUGGGUGCAGCCGGAGCCCAAGUGUCCGGGAGACGCGCGGCCGCCCAGCCCGCGGAGCCCCCCGCGCAGCGCCCGCCCCCCCGCGCCCUGCCCUCCGGCCCGGGUGGGUGCAGCCGGAACCCAAGUGUCCGGGAGACGCGCGGCCGCCCAGCCCGCGGAGACCCCCACGCAGCCCCCCCCCACCCCGCGCCCUGCCCUCCGGCCCGGGUGGGUGCAGCCGGAGCCCUAGUGUCCGGGAGACGCGCGGCCGCCCAGCCCGCGGAGCCCCCCGCGCAGCACCCCCCCCCCGCGCCCUGCCCUCCGGCCUGGGUGGGUGCAGCCGGAGCCCUAGUGUCCGGGAGACGUGCGGCCGCCCAGCCCGCGGAGCCCCCCCGCGCCCCCCCCCCGCGCCCUGCCCUCCGGCCCGGGUGGGUGCAGCCGGAGCCCUAGUGUCCGGGAGACGCGCGGCCGCCCAGCCCGCGGAGCCCCCCCGCGCAGCACCCCCCCCCCGCGCCCUGCCCUCCGGCCUGGGUGGGUGCAGCCGGAGCCCUAGUGUCCGGGAGACGCGCGGCCGCCCAGCCCGCGGAGCCCCCGCGCAGCACCCCCCCCCCGCGCCCUGCCCUCCGGCCCGGGUGGGUGCAGCCGGAGCCCUAGUGUCCGGGAGACGCGCGGCCGCCCAGCUCGCGGAGCCCCCCCGCGCAGCCCCCCCCCGCGCCCUGCCCUCCGGCCCGGGUGGGUGCAGCCGGAGCCCUAGUGUCCGGGAGACGCGCGGCCGCCCAGCCCGCGGAGCCCCCCGCGCAGCACCCCCCCCCGCGCCCUGCCCUCCGGCCCGGGUGGGUGCAGCCGGCCGCGCCCGCGCUCCCUCCGCGCGGCCCACGGAGGAGUGGAGGCGAGGACCGCUGCGAACCCCGUCGCCGCCGCCGCUCCGCCCCGCCGCCUCUGCCGCCCGCUCCUGAAGCGGAAAGCGAGCAGUGACGCCCUUCCCGGCCUCCCCGUGCUCCCCUCCGGCUCGCCCUCUCCCGCCUUCGCCGGGCCCCCCUCCCGCUCCGCCCUCCGCGCAGAGGCCCGCGGGGUCCCGGCGAGGAAGCCCGGCCGCGCCUCUCCGCCCUCCUCCUGGGACGGCGUCGGCGGGGGAGGCAGGAGCGGAGAAACCCCCACCAGGGGUGACCCGAGCUGCGCCGGCUGCGCGGGGGCCCGGCACUCCCGGGAGCGCGGAACCAGGGCCGGGCCCGCUGGCGAGGCGGAGGGCCUCGCGCCACACGCCAGAGGCCGGGCCGGGCCCAGGCUGCGGUGCUGUGUAGUUAAUGUUCUGAUUCAAAGCCGGCCGUGUCCCAGGCACGAAGAAUAAACACGAGACUCCGUGCCGCA
rnacentral:lncRNA from 12 species